rnacentral:rRNA from 1 species
UGCCAGCCGCCGCGGUAAUACGGAGGGUCCGAGCGUUAUCCGGAAUCAUUGGAUUUAAAGGGUCCGUAGGCGGGAAUCUAAGUCAGUGGUGAAAUCUUGCAGCUCAACUGUAAAAUUGCCAUUGAUACUGGAUUUCUUGAAUUAGUGUGAAGUGGUUAGAAUGUGUAGUGUAGCGGUGAAAUGCUUAGAGAUUACAUAGAAUACCGAUUGCGAAGGCAGAUCACUAACAAUAUAUUGACGCUGAUGAACGAAAGCGUGGGUAGCGAACGGGAUUAGAUA